GGUGGCGGCAGCUACACAUGCAGUCGACGGUAACAGGAAGCAGCUUGCUGCUUUGCUGACGAGUGGCGGACGGGUGAGUAAUGUCUGGGAAACUGCCUGAUGGAGGGGGAUAACUACUGGAAACGGUAGCUAAUACCGCAUAACGUCGCAAGACCAAAGAGGGGGACCUUCGGGCCUCUUGCCAUCGGAUGUGCCCAGAUGGGAUUAGCUAGUAGGUGGGGUAACGGCUCACCUAGGCGACGAUCCCUAGCUGGUCUGAGAGGAUGACCAGCCACACUGGAACUGAGACACGGUCCAGACUCCUACGGGAGGCAGCAGUGGGGAAUAUUGCACAAUGGGCGCAAGCCUGAUGCAGCCAUGCCGCGUGUAUGAAGAAGGCCUUCGGGUUGUAAAGUACUUUCAGCGGGGAGGAAGGCGAUAAGGUUAAUAACCUUGUCGAUUGACGUUACCCGCAGAAGAAGCACCGGCUAACUCCGUGCCAGCAGCCGCGGUAAUACGGAGGGUGCAAGCGUUAAUCGGAAUUACUGGGCGUAAAGCGCACGCAGGCGGUCUGUCAAGUCGGAUGUGAAAUCCCCGGGCUCAACCUGGGAACUGCAUUCGAAACUGGCAGGCUAGAGUCUUGUAGAGGGGGGUAGAAUUCCAGGUGUAGCGGUGAAAUGCGUAGAGAUCUGGAGGAAUACCGGUGGCGAAGGCGGCCCCCUGGACAAAGACUGACGCUCAGGUGCGAAAGCGUGGUGAGCAAACAGGAUUAGAUACCCUGGUAUUCCACGCCAUAUACGAUGUCUACUUGGAGGUUGUGCCCUUGAGGCCUGCUUCCGGAGCUAACGCGUGAGUCUACCGACUGGGGAGUACGGCCGAGCGUUAGACUCAAAUGAAUUGACGGGGG
rnacentral:rRNA from 1 species